rnacentral:misc_RNA from 1 species
GAUGAAGAACGUAGCGAAAUGCGAUAAGUAGUGUGAAUUGCAGAAUUCAGUGAAUCAUCGAAUCUUUGAACGCACAUUGCGCCCUUUGGUAUUCCAAAGGGCAUGCCUGUUCGAGCGUCAUUUGUACCCUCAAGCUUUGCUUGGUGUUGGGCGUCUUGUCUCUAGCUUUGCUGGAGACUCGCCUUAAAGUAAUUGGCAGCCGGCCUACUGGUUUCGGAGCGCAGCACAAGUCGCACUCUCUAUCAGCAAAGGUCUAGCAUCCAUUAAGCCUUUUUUUCAACUUUUGACCUCGGAUCAGGUAGGGAUACCCGCUGAACUUAAGCAUAUCAAUAAGCGGA